rnacentral:rRNA from 1 species
ACGGAGGGUGCGAGCGUUGUUCGGAAUUAUUGGGCGUAAAGGGCAUGUAGGCGGCUUUGCAAGUCGGGUGUGAAAGCCCAUCGCUUAAAGAUGGAACGGCAUUCGAAACUGCAAGGCUUGAGUUCAGGAGAGGAAAGCGGAAUUCUCGGUGUAGCGGUGAAAUGCGUAGAUAUCGAGAAGAACACCAGUGGCGUAGGCGGCUAUCUAUCCUGAAACUGACGCUGAGAUGCGAAAGCCAGGGGAGCGAACGG